GUAGGGGGCAAGCGUUAUCCGGAUUUACUGGGUGUAAAGGGAGCGUAGACGGCUUAGCAAGUCUGAAGUGAAAGCCCGCGGCUCAACUGCGGGACUGCUUUGGAAACUGUGUUGCUGGAGUGCCGGAGAGGUAAGUGGAAUUCCUAGUGUAGCGGUGAAAUGCGUAGAUAUUAGGAGGAACACCAGUGGCGAAGGCGGCUUACUGGACGGUAACUGACGUUGAGGCUCGAAAGCGUGGGGAGC
rnacentral:rRNA from 1 species